rnacentral:rRNA from 1 species
UACGUAGGUGGCGAGCGUUGUCCGGAAUCAUUGGGCGUAAAGCGCGCGUAGGCGGCUUGCCAGGUCUGAUGUGAAAUCUCGGGGCUCAACCCCAAGCGUGCAUCGGAAACCGGCUUGCUAGAGUCUGGGAGAGGAGAGUGGAAUUCCUGGUGUAGCGGUGAAAUGCGUAGAUAUCAGGAGGAACACCAGUUGCGAAGGCGGCUCUCUGGAACAGUACUGACGCUGAGGCGCGAAAGCUAGGGGAGCGAACAGG